AGAGCACAGCCACUGCCCAUCAAGCACAGUUAUAAAGGUAGAAAACUCUUUGAGUCUGUACUCAGUCUUUUGUCUGUCCAACUGCCUGAACUUCAGUCAGUGCAGUCACUAUGAUGGCGAAAUCGCUGCUACUUUUUUUUGUGGCUUUUAUUGUCGCUACAGAAGAGGCCAGUCUUUACUUGGCAGAUUCUAAUUCAAAAUUCUUAGAGCUCUGUGACUGGCCUGGAACAGUGUGUCGAAAGUACUCCUGCAAUCCACAAGAGGAGUUUUUCCCACUGCACUGCCACAACGGGCUGGAAUGCUGCAGACUGGACACAAAACCUGAAUUCCAAUGAUGAGGUCCCAUUGGCUCACACUCUUCCUUCUCACUGAUUGAAGACCCUCACUAGAAGCAGGUGACGUCUUAUGUUUUAGCUUCGAAGCACUGACUCUACGUCGCUGAAUGAAGGCUGUAUUCAGAAACAAAAAUUAAAUAAACUUUCCAUCUGUGCUUUAUCA